GCGAAAUUCCUUGUCGGGUAAGUUCCGACCUGCACGAAUGGCGUAACGACUUCUCAACUGUCUCAACCAUAGACUCGGCGAAAUUGCACUACGAGUAAAGAUGCUCGUUACGCGCGGCAGGACGAAAAGACCCCGGGACCUUUACUACAGCUUGGUAUUGGUGGUCGAUUCGAUUUGUGUAGGAUAGGUGGGAGACUGUGAAGCAGUAACGCCAGUUAUUGUGGAGUCAUUGUUGAAAUACCACUCUGAUCGUGCUGGCUGUCUAACUUAGGUCCGUUAUCCGGAUCAGGGACAGUGCCUGGUGGGUAGUUUAACUGGGGCGGUUGCCUCCUAAAAUGUAACGGAGGCGCUCAAAGGUUCCCUCAGCCUGGUUGGCAAUCAGGUGGCGAGUGUAAGUGCACAAGGGAGCUUGACUGUGAGACAGACAUGUCGAGCAGGGACGAAAGUCGGAACUAGUGAUCCGGCGCUGGCAAGUGGAAGCGGCGUCGCUCAACGGAUAAAAGGUACCCCGGGGAUAACAGGCUGAUCUUCCCCAAGAGUCCAUAUCGACGGGAUGGUUUGGCACCUCGAUGUCGGCUCGUCGCAUCCUGGGGCUGGAGUAGGUCCCAAGGGUUGGGCUGUUCGCCCAUUAAAGCGGCACGCGAGCUGGGUUUAGAACGUCGUGAGACAGUUCGGUCCCUAUCCGCCGCGCGCGUAGGAAACUUGAGAAAGGCUGUCCCUAGUACGAGAGGACCGGGAUGGACGAACCUCUGGUGUGCCAGUUGUUCCGCCAGGAGCAUUGCUGGUUGGCUACGUUCGGAAGUGAUAACCGCUGAAAGCAUCUAAGCGGGAAGCACGCUUCAAGAUGAGGGCUCCCACAGGGUUGACCUGGUAAGGCCCCCAGCUAGACGACUGGGUUGAUAGGCCGGAAGUGGAAGCACAGUGAUGUGUGGAGCUGACCGGUACUAAUAGGCCGAGGACUUGCCACA
rnacentral:rRNA from 1 species